AACGCGAAGAACCUUACCUGGGCUUGACAUGGAGGUGGUACCAACCCGAAAGGGGCGGGACCCGCAAGGGAACCUCUGCAGGUGCUGCACGGCUGUCGUCAGCUCGUGCCGUGAGGUGUUGGGUUAAGUCCCGCAACGAGCGCAACCCUCGCCGCUAGUUACGCAGUCUAGCGGGACCGCCGGGACCAACCCGGAGGAAGGUGGGGACGACGUCAAGUCAGCAUGGCCCUGACGUCCAGGGCUACACACACGCUACAAUGGCCAGGACAAUGGGUAGCGAGGGGGCGACCCGGAGCCAAUCCCAGCAAACCUGGUCUCAGUUCGGAUUGCAGGCUGCAACCCGCCUGCAUGAAGUCGGAGUUGCUAGUAACCGCAGGUCAGCACACUGCGGUGAAUACGUUCCCGGGCCUUGUACACACCG
rnacentral:rRNA from 1 species